rnacentral:rRNA from 1 species
GCGGUGGAGCAUGUGGUUUAAUUCGACGCAACGCGAAGAACCUUACCUGGGUUUGACAUCCCGAUCGUACUCUAUGGAAACAUAGGGGUCAGUUCGGCUGGAUCGGUGACAGGUGCUGCAUGGCUGUCGUCAGCUCGUGUCGUGAGAUGUUGGGUUAAGUCCCGCAACGAGCGCAACCCUUGUCCUUAGUUGCCACCAUUCAGUUGGGCACUCUAAGGAGACUGCCGGUGUUAAACCGGAGGAAGGUGGGGAUGACGUCAAGUCCUCAUGGCCCUUAUAUCCAGGGCUACACACGUGCUACAAUGGCCGGUACAAAGGGCAGCCACUCAGCGAUGAGGCGCUAAUCCCAUAAAGCCGGUCUCAGUCCGGAUCGCAGUCUGCAACUCGACUGCGUGAAGUUGGAAUCGCUAGUAAUCGUAGAUCAGCAUGCUACGGUGAAUACGUUCCCGGGCCUU